UGCUACUGUUAAAGUAAAAUGGGCACCUCCGGGCAGUACAUCAACAUUUUUAAUAAAUCACUGUCAGUUUUGGAAGUACCAUUUUUGAUUGGUUUACAGCUAAUAUACCAGCUGGCUAUAAUUAAACUUUCCCCAUUUCACAUGUUAUAACAUGGAAACUAAUUACCAUACAAGUACCAAAUUUGGUAGCAUUAUGUCCAGAGCAUGAAGUGCAUGAUUUCCUUGAAUUACAGUGCCACCAUCUAGUUCCAACUAUGGACACCAGGUGCCAUAAUCAGUCAUCAUGAGUCAUACUCUCACACACCUGACCAGUCGCAGUGCACUUGUUUACGCAUCAACAUGAGCUUGGACAAAAGGAGCAGGGCAUUAUUGGUGAAGGUCUAUUUCUAAAACAACAGUAAUGGUGUAGCUGCACUUUGAGAAUAUUGCUGGCUGAAAUGAUUAUUGAAGGGUUCUCUUUCUCUACCUACUGCGUAGAGCAUGAUCAAGAAGUUCAAAUCAACUGGAGAAUUGGGUGUCACUCUGGGAAGAGGCCGACAACUGAUUGCACAACAGGUGGUUGAUGAAAUCGCUAUUGCUAUGGCAGACUAUGCUGUGUGCAAUUCCUGAUUGUCAGGCAGUGUGCAUGCUGUGUCAUGAUAGUUGAACAUCCUGUAGUCCACUGUAUGGAAGGGGUUUUCAACUUUUCUUAAAUAGUAUCUGUACAAGACCCAUAUUAUACAGCAGCUUUCACCACAGGAUGCACAACGAUGUGUUGACAUUGCUCUCCACUUUCUCACGAAGAUUGAAGUUGAUGAGGGAUGGACGAAGUUCAUUUUUCUCUGGCAGGUUGGUGCUCAAGGACCAAAGUGUUACUACAAUGUGCUUCGCCAGCAUGUCAUACCUGUCCUACGGGAAAGAGACCCAUUGAACUCAACAGUUUUCAUGCAAAGUGGGGCACCACUGCACAUCGCUUGUGAAGUUCACCUUCUUCUCUGAAACACAUUUGGAAAUGAUCAAAUUAUCAGCCAAUUGUUUCGAAAUGCUUGGGCAGCAUGAUCAUCUGAUCUCACUCCCUGUCAUUUCUGGUUAUGGGGCUACCUGAAGGACAGGGUUUACCAUUGGAACAUUCACACAUGUGCUGAUCUGGAGUGCAGUUCAGAAUAUCAAGAGAGGUAACCAUCAUACCUAUGGACAUGCUUUGUUCUUCUCUACAGAAUGCAAUCCUACACUUUCAGACUCUUCUGGUCACUGAUAGGCGCCGUAUUGAUGUACUGUAGCAGCACAUUAAAAGUGUUUCAACUGAA